UUCCUUGGGUGUGUAUGUGCAUGUGUGCAUGCAUACACACACACACACACACACACACACACACACACACACACACAUA
rnacentral:miRNA from 1 species